rnacentral:rRNA from 1 species
UACGGGGGGGGCAAGCGUUGUUCGGAAUUACUGGGCGUAAAGGGCGCGUAGGCGGCCUUCUAAGUCGGACGUGAAAUCCCUCGGCUUAACCGAGGAACUGCGUCCGAUACUGAAAGGCUUGAAUCCGGGAGAGGGAUGUGGAAUUCCAGGUGUAGCGGUGAAAUGCGUAGAUAUCUGGAGGAACACCGGUGGCGAAGGCGGCAUCCUGGACCGGCAUUGACGCUGAUGAGCGAAAGCUAGGGGAGCAAACGGG